rnacentral:ncRNA from 1 species
UUUCAUGAGAGUUUGAUCCUGGCUCAGGACGAACGCUGGCGGCGUGCCUAAUACAUGCAAGUCGAACGAACCGCGACUAGGUGCUUGCACUUGGUCAAGGUGAGUGGCGAACGGGUGAGUAACACGUGGGUAACCUACCUCAUAGUGGGGGAUAACAGUCGGAAACGACUGCUAAUACCGCAUAGGACAUGGGAUCACAUGAUUCCGUGAGGAAAGGUGGCGCAAGCUAUCGCUAAGAGAUGGACCCGCGGUGCAUUAGCUAGUUGGUAGGGUAAGGGCCUACCAAGGCGAUGAUGCAUAGCCGACCUGAGAGGGUGAUCGGCCACAUUGGGACUGAGACACGGCCCAAACUCCUACGGGAGGCAGCAGUAGGGAAUCUUCCGCAAUGGACGCAAGUCUGACGGAGCAACGCCGCGUGAGUGAAGAAGGUCUUCGGAUCGUAAAGCUCUGUUGUUAG